rnacentral:misc_RNA from 1 species
CGCAUAUUGCGCCCCUUGGUAUUCCGAGGGGCAUGCCUGUUCGAGCGUCAUUAUCACCCCUCAAGCUUAGGCUUGGUGUUGGGCUUAAGGCUGCAGCUUGGCUGUGGCCGGCCUCAAAGAUAGUGACCGCGUCCCAGAAGGAACCGGUACGAGGAGCUUUUCUAAGCAUGUACGCGGCAUGAUUCUGUCGGGCGGCGGUCUUGAUACUUAUUAUUUACAAGUGUUGACCUCGGAUCAGGUAGGAAUACCCGCUGAACUUAA